CACGUAGGGCGCAAGCGUUGUCCGGAAUUAUUGGGCGUAAAGGGCGCGUAGGCGGCCUGGCAAGUGGAAGGUGAAAUCCCUCGGCUUAACCGAGGAACUGCCCUCCAAACUGCUUGGCUUGAGUCCGGGAGAGGUGAGUGGAAUUCCCAGUGUAGCGGUGAAAUGCGUAGAUAUUGGGAGGAACACCAGUGGCGAAGGCGGCUCACUGGACCGGAACUGACGCUGAGGCGCGAAAGCGUGGGGAGCAAACGGG
rnacentral:rRNA from 1 species